rnacentral:rRNA from 1 species
UACAGAGGUCUCAAGCGUUGUUCGGAUUCAUUGGGCGUAAAGGGUGCGUAGGCGGCGCGGUAAGUCGGGUAGUGAAAUCUCGGAGCUUAACUCCGAAACUGCAUUCGAUACUGCCGUGCUUGAGGACUGGAGAGGAGACUGGAAUUUACGGUGUAGCGGUGAAAUGCGUAGAGAUGUGGAGGAACACCAGUGGCGAAGGCGACUCUUUGGUCUGUAAACUGACGCUGGAGGCGACGAAAGCGUGGGGAGCAAACAGG